rnacentral:lncRNA from 1 species
CGAGUAUACCACACGUAAUGUCUUGUGUUAAUAAUAUAAAGAAAUAUGGAUAGAUUUUUAUUUAUUUUUUCAUAUAUCCUCUAGUUAUUGGCAUGGAAAUCAUUGUAACGAUGAAUUUGUACCACACAAAUUAUCAUCCUUAAUGCGAGGUGAUUAAGUGAAAUAAACCGUUAUGCUUGUGUCAUAUACUGGUUCAGGAUAAACCUACUAUUUAAUCUAUUUUAUUAUUUAAUCAGAUGAUCACACGUGGAUUAGGAGAUGCCUCUUGAACGAAAAUUCUCUUGAAUCGUGUAAUUUUCUAAAGGUAAUGUUAGGGAGAUUAAAUUUGUAAAAAAAAUGUGAAAACUAAAGAACAUAGAAGUUGAUGAUUGGUUUAUUACUUAAGUACUAAUAAAUGUAUUCAUUCUUAUUGGUGACACAUCAUUUAGUUUGCAAAAUUUUGUUUCCAAAUUUAAUCUCCCUAACAUUAAGAACGUAGGUCCUAAAUAAAGAUACUUGAUAGAUCACAACAUAUUAUGCUUUGGUAAAUGUGGUGAGUUCGACACAAUCUGCUUAACCGUGGUCACGGGUAGGGUGAAAUUCCUCAUAUCCACUCCCGGCCCGAAAUGAGUGGAUAAUCGUGGUUUGCCACCAGUUGUCCCAUUAUUAAAGAAGAAAAAAUACAAUAAAUCAAUGGUAAAUAAACUCGAAUCUUAUAAUUGAAGUUAUCAUGCCCCUAUAAACUUUAUUGGCAAACAGUCUAACAUGCUAAAAGACAAUUUGCUGUGAGUUGUUGCGAGACAAUUUGUUUUUAUUUUAAGGGAGACUUUGGAUGCAGUCUAACAUGCUAAAAGACAAUUUAGCUAUGAAUAUUCUUUGAUUGAAAUGACACACCCCGAUUCUAGGAUCGCCCGAUCCUAGAAUCAAGGUGUGCUGGCCUUCACGUCCUAAAAACCAAGUAGUGGUCUCAACCCAUCUACUAGCAGGAAGAUUUCCUUGACUCU